rnacentral:rRNA from 1 species
GACGAACGCUGGCGGCGUGCCUAAUACAUGCAAGUAGAACGCUGAAGGAGGAGCUUGCUCUUCUGGAUGAGUUGCGAACGUGUGAGUAACGCGUAGGUAACCUGCCUGGUAGCGGGGGAUAACUCUUGGAAACGAUAGCUAAUACCGCAUAACAGUAGAUGUUGCAUGACAUUUACUUAAAAGGUGCAAUUGUAUCACUACCAGAUGGACCUGCGUUGGAUUAGCUAGUUGGUGGGGUAACGGCUCACCAAGGCGACGAUACAUAGCCGACCUGAGAGGGGGGACCGCCAAACUGGGACUGAGACACGGGCCAAACUCCUACGGGAGGGAGCAGGAGGGAAUCUUCGGCAAUGGACGGAAGUCUGACCGGGCAACGCCGGGUGGGUGAAGGAGGUUUUCGGAUCGUAAAGCUCUGGUGUAAGGGAAGAACGAGUGUGAGAGUGGAAAGUUCACGCUGUGACGGUAUCUAACCAGAAAGGGACGGCUAACUACGUG